CACAGUUUCCGUACUACUCUUAUUUGAACAUGCAGUGGGUUAAUUGUCAAACCUGUAAUUAGUAUAUUAUACAUUGCACAAAUAUAAUAGCAAUCUCUCCAUUUUCUUUUUUGCAAAAGUCAAUUUCAUACAUACCAAAACAACGGGAUAAACUCGGAUCUCUUUUCUGUAGGAUCUCUCUAUUCUGUUGCUUAUCCUACUGAGUGUAGCAGUCCGAGCGUUUUAUUGCUUAGCUUAGUUGUUGUUGUUGUUGUUUUCCAAACGCAGUUACUGCUUUGGGCCAUUUCCUGCGUGAGGAAUCACGAAGUGUGAAACAGAAAACAGACGGAGUGGAUCUCUAACGUCACUAUGGACCGUUGAGUAGAGUUCUCUGUGCUAUAGAGUGGAUUCUUUACCAGCUGAGCCACCAGGAAAGCCCAAGAAUACUGGAGUGGAUAGCCUAUCCCUUCUCCGGCAGAUCUUCCCAACCCAGGAAUCGAACUGGAGUCUUCUGCAUUGCAGGUGGAUUCUUUACCAACUGAGCUAUCAGGGAAGCCCCAUAAAGAGUAUACAUGUUUUUAAUUCCAACCAAGAAGAAAAACUGGAGGAAAUAACAGGUAAAAAUUGAAGCAACUCCAAUACCCUUAGGUCAUUUACUUCCACUUCCUCAAAGAAUAUUGGUCACUUGACUAUUUCAGCUCUGUUCAUGAAUGUGUUUCUUCAAUUAUGUUAUAACCUUG
ensembl:lncRNA